AUUGAACGCUGGCGGCAGGCUUAACACAUGCAAGUCGAGCGGAGAUGAGGUGCUUGCACCUUAUCUUAGCGGCGGACGGGUGAGUAAUGCUUAGGAAUCUGCCUAUUAGUGGGGGACAACAUUCCGAAAGGAAUGCUAAUACCGCAUACGCCCUACGGGGGAAAGCAGGGGAUCUUCGGACCUUGCGCUAAUAGAUGAGCCUAGGUCGGGUUAGCUAGUUGGUGGGGUAAAGGCCUACCAAGGCGACGAUCUGUAGCGGGUCUGAGAGGAUGGUCCGCCACACUGGGACUGAGACACGGCCCAGACUCCUACGGGAGGCAGCGGUAGGGAAUAUUGGACAAUGGGGGGAACCCUGAUCCAGCCAUGCCGCGUGUGUGAAGAAGGCCUUAUGGUUGUAAAGCACUUUAAGCGAGGAGGAGGCUACUGAGACUAAUACUCUUGGAUAGUGGACGUUACUCGCAGAAUAAGCACCGGCUAACUCUGUGCCAGCCGCCGCAGUAAUAC
rnacentral:rRNA from 1 species